UAUUGUCUACAUAAAAUAACGCGUGACAUUAGGAAAUGAAAUAAGAACAGUCAGUUGUUAUUUUAAGACAUGAAGGUCAGCUGUUCUGGAACAGUUCUUGCUAGAACAAUAUAAUGAUGAAACUGUCUCUCAUGAAGACCUUCCCGGGAAAACAAGACCGAAACUGACCUCUACUGCAGGGAAGUUCAUUUAGAGUCACCAGCCUCAGAAAUCACCAAUUAACAACCAGCACCUCAGAUUAGAGCUGUUACUUCUGCUCUGUAAAGCUUCGUAGCAGAUAUACAUCUCAAUAUCAACUGUUUAAAGGAGAUUAUUGUGUAUUUUGGAUAAACACAUUCAGUAUAGUUUUACAGAGUGGAACGAAAUAAAUAUCAAGAACGAUAUUGGAGUUAAAAGGGGUGUACAAACUUUUGACAUGGUUCAGACCUUCGGGAUCUCUGCAAAAAGGCUUCUUUUAUUCAGAAGGUAAGACAAUGUAGUUUAGCAUGAAAUAUCCUGUCAAUAAUGUUGAGUUUUUAUUUGUUUGUCCUUAAUAGUGAAAAAAAAAGUAGGAAAUCUUUUUUGUUGUUUUGUUUUAUAUUUCACACACCCAGUGGGAGGAAUGAGACGCAUAAGUCAUCUGUAACUAGAACCCAGCAUCUGAUCAACUAUAUCACAAAAGUUAGAUACACAGGAUCGAUCUAAAUAACUAAUAUUUUUGGCCUUAAACAGUAUGAUGAGUGACACUUAACCUGGGAUACUAAGCUGUUUUUGCCAUUGUUUGAAAUGCCACCCCCCCCCUUUCUAAAUUAUUAUUCAUGAAACAUAAUAAGAGUAAAAAGCAAUUUAUUAACCAUUUGCUACAGUAUUUUUAUUUAACAUCCCACACAGCACCAGUGUUAAAAGCAGGAUGUUACAGUAGUUUGAGUUCAUGUGCUGUUUGUGAGGUAGCCUCAGGUUGGAAUUUAUUUAAUGCUUGCCAUAAAUUUAAAUGAAAUAUCAAAUGACAGUAAAAA